AGUGGGAAUUUUGCACAAUGGGCGAAAGCCUGAUGCAGCGACGCCGCGUGAGGGAUGAAGGCCUUCGGGUCGUAAACCUCUGUUGACAGGGAAGAAUACAUGACGGUACCUGUCGAGGAAGCCUCGGCUAACUCCGUGCCAGCAGCCGCGGCAAGACGGAGGAGGCAAGCGUUGUCCGGAUUGACUGGGCGUAAAGCGCAUGUAGGUGGAGCUUUAAGUCGGCGGUGAAAGCCUUCCGCUUAACGGAAGAAUUGCCGUCGAAACUAAGGUUCUUGAGGGCAGGAGAGGAGAGCGGAAUUGCUGGUGUAGCGGUGAAAUGCGUAGAGAUCAGCAAGAACACCCGUGGCGAAGGCGGCUCUCUGGACUGCUCCUGACACUGAGAUGCGAAAGCCAGGGGAGCGAACGGGAUUAGAUACCCCAGUAGUCC
rnacentral:rRNA from 1 species